GUCCUGGUACUGUUGCUCUACGGUGAGUACUCUUCUUGUGAAGAGAUUUGUUUAGGUCAAUUUAUUGUUCUUUUAUGUCCAGUUGUGAUGUUUUAUGAAAACAUUUUUUGAUGUGAUGUAGUGAAAUUCGUAAGUACCAGAAGAGUACUGAGCUCCUGAUCAGGAAGCUUCCUUUUCAGAGGCUUGUGCGUGAGAUUGCUCAGGACUUUAAGGUAAAUAAAUCAUUGAUGCAGAACCUUGCUCUUGCUAUUUGAUUGCUGUUGAAAUAGUGGACACUAUGAUUUAUUGAUGGGACUUCUAAUUUAUUGAUUUUUUCCGCGGUUCAGACUGAUCUGCGUUUCCAAAGCCAUGCUGUUUUAGCACUUCAGGAGGCUGCAGAGGCCUACCUUGUGGGCCUUUUUGAGGACACCAAUCUGUGUGCUAUUCACGCCAAGCGUGUGACGAUAAUGCCCAAGGACAUUCAGCUGGCUCGCAGAAUCAGGGGUGAGCGUGCUUAGAUGAUUUGAUUCUCGGACAAGGUGUGUGGUGAUGGUGUUUUUUAGUUUAGUUUGUUGUUAAGAAGCAUAAAGAUGCUAGACAGUAUUAAGCUCAAAUAGUUAUUGUUAGUGCUGUUUAUGGGUUGUAAUGGUAGUGUUCCCUUUGGAUGGAAACUAUACUUUUCACAGCUAUUACUCUAUGGACUAGAAUGUUUCCUUUGAACUGCUUUUGGUGAGGAAUUUCCUAUUUGCAUCAUAUGUAGUGGAUCUGUUUUCUAGUAUAUUGCUGUGGUGCAAUUUAUGUUUGCUGUUUGUUGUAUAUUUGCGAAGGUUUGAUUAAUAAUUAUAGGAUUCUUUGAUUGCUAAUUGCCGGUGGCCAAAUAACUGCUUUAUUUGCAAAUCCUUCUGGUCAAGUAUUCAACUUAGGCAUGAC
rnacentral:lncRNA from 1 species